ACUCCUACGGGAGGCAGCAGUGGGGAAUAUUGGACAAUGGGGGCAACCCUGAUCCAGCAAUGCCGCGUGUGUGAAGAAGGCCUGCGGGUUGUAAAGCACUUUCAGUAGAGAAGAAAAGCCUAGGGUUAAUACCCCUGAGUCUUGACGUUACCUACAGAAGAAGCUCCGGCUAACUCCGUGCCAGCAGCCGCGGUAAUACGGAGGGAGCGAGCGUUAAUCGGAAUUACUGGGCGUAAAGCGCGCGUAGGUGGCUUGAUAAGCCGGUUGUGAAAGCCCCGGGCUCAACCUGGGAACGGCAUCCGGAACUGUCAAGCUAGAGUGCAGGAGAGGAAGGUAGAAUUCCCGGUGUAGCGGUGAAAUGCGUAGAGAUCGGGAGGAAUACCAGUGGCGAAGGCGGCCUUCUGGACUGACACUGACACUGAGGUGCGAAAGCGUGGGUAGCAAACAGGAUUAGAUACCCUGGUAGGCUCUG
rnacentral:rRNA from 1 species